rnacentral:rRNA from 1 species
CACGAACGCUGGCGGCAGGCUUAACACAUGCAAGUCGAGCGCCCCGCAAGGGGAGCGGCAGACGGGUGAGUAACGCGUGGGAAUCUACCCAUCUCUACGGAAUAACGCAUGGAAACGUGUGCUAAUACCGUAUACGUCCUUCGGGAGAAAGAUUUAUCGGAGAUGGAUGAGCCCGCGUUGGAUUAGCUAGUUGGUGGGGUAAAGGCCUACCAAGGCGACGAUCCAUAGCUGGUCUGAGAGGAUGAUCAGCCACACUGGGACUGAGACACGGCCCAGCCGGCUACGGGAGGCAGCAGUGGGUAAUAUUGGACAAUGGGGGCAAGCCUGACCCUGCCAUGCCGCGUGAGGGAUGAAGGCCCUAGGGUUGUAAAGCACUUUCACCGGUGAAGAUAAUGACGGUAAGCGGAGAAGAAGCCCCGGCUAACUUCGUGCCAGCCGCCGCAGUAACAC